UCUGUUAUUUUCAUUUAAUUCCAAAUACUAACUUAUCUAUAUAAGUUUCACUGUAUACUAGCUAGUCAUUGGGGAAAUAAUAUUUCAAUCACCAGAUUCUAAAUUAUGUAGAACCUUAAUUAUGCUUUUAAUUAUAAUUAAAAUCCACUUUUCAUGGAUGUCUCAUGCUACCAUAUUGAUACUUGGUAUUUGUUUUUACAAAAUGUGCUGUAACAAUCAAAAUUAGAUCUGGUUAUUUGAUCUGUUUGAUUAUCUACAGAAAUCAUGUAGCUCUAAACAACUUGCUAAAAAUAUCUAUUUCUUUUUGUUUUUUUUUUUGUCAUUGAAAAAAUAGCCUAAGAAAUGGCUUUUAAAAUAAACAGAAAUGUUAAUUGUAUUUAUUAUCAGACAUUCAUCUUUCUUUUGUUCCAUUGAGGAACAAAUUACUAUGUCAAAUAUGUAACCA